rnacentral:ncRNA from 1 species
GUUGGGAGAGCUGCAUUAUAGCGGUUCGUUGGGGUUUCAAUCCCCACUUGGCAC